rnacentral:rRNA from 1 species
UGACCGCUGGCGGUAGGCCUAACACAUGCAAGUCGACCGGCAGCACAGUAAGAGCUUGCUCUUACGGGUGGCGAGUGGCGGACGGGUGAGGAAUACAUCGAAAUCUACUUUUUCGUGGGGGAUAACGUAGGGAAACUUACGCUAAUACCGCAUACGACCUACGGGUGAAAGCAGGGGAUCUUCGGACCUUGCGCGAUUGAAUGAGCCGAUGUCGGAUUAGCUAGUUGGCGGGGUAAAGGCCCACCAAGGCGACGAUCCGUAGCUGGUCUGAGAGGAUGAUCAGCCACACUGGAACUGAGACACGGUCCAGACUCCUACGGGAGGCAGCAGUGGGGAAUAUUGGACAAUGGGCGCAAGCCUGAUCCAGCCAUACCGCGUGGGUGAAGAAGGCCUUCGGGUUGUAAAGCCCUUUUGUUGGGAAAGAAAAGCAGCAGGUUAAUACCCCGCUGUUCUGACGGUACCCAAAGAAUAAGCACCGGCUAACUUCGUG